UACGAAGGGGGGCUAGCGUUGCUCGGAUUUACUGGGCGUAAAGGGCGCGUAGGCGGACAGUUAAGUUGGGGGUGAAAGCCCGGGGCUCAACCUCGGAAUUGCCUUCAAUACUGGCUGUCUUGAGUGUGAGAGAGGUGUGUGGAACUCCGAGUGUAGAGGUGAAAUUCGUAGAUAUUCGGAAGAACACCAGUGGCGAAGGCGACUCGCUGGACAAGUAUUGACGCUGAGGUGCGAAAGCGUGGGGAGCAAACAGGG
rnacentral:rRNA from 1 species